GGAGGGGUGGCUGAGCUGGUUUAAGGCACCUGAUUGAUACUCAGGCGCGGGUGCAAGUCCGCCGCGGGUUCGAAUCCCGCUCCCUAUU
rnacentral:tRNA from 1 species